rnacentral:rRNA from 1 species
AUAAUUCUUGAUAGAUCAUAAUGCCUGGAAUGGUUUAUGGUUAAAAUGAUUCGUCGCCAUAGGAUGGGACUGCGGCCUAUCAGCUUGUUGGUGAGGUAAUGGCCCACCAAGGCGAUUACAGGUACGGGCUCUGAGAGGAGAAGCCCGGAGAUGGGUACUGAGACACGGACCCAGGCCCUAUGGGGCGCAGCAGGCGAGAAAACUUUGCAAUGUGCGAAAGCACGACAAGGUUAAUCCGAGUGAUUUCUGCUAAAGAAAUCCUUUGCCAGUCAUAAAACCACUGGUGAAUAAGGGGUGGGCAAGUUCUGGUGUCAGCCGCCGCGGUAAAACCAGCACCUCAAGUGGUCAGGAUGAUUAUUGGGCCUAAAGCAUCCGUAGCCGGCUUUGUAAGUUUUCGGUUAAAUCCAUGUGCUCAACGCAUGGGCUGCCGAAAAUACUGCAUAGCUAGGGAGUGGGAGAGGUAGACGGUACUCAGUAGGUAGGGGUAAAAUCCUUUGAUCUAUUGAUGACCACCUGUGGCGAAGGCGGUCUACCAGAACACGUUCGACGGUGAGGGAUGAAAGCUGGGGGAGCAAACCGGAUUAGAUACCCGGGUAGUCCCAGCUGUAAACGAUGCAGACUCGAUGAUGCAUUGGCAUAAUAGCCAGUGCAGUGUCGCAGGGAAGCCGUUAAGUCUGCCGCCUGGGAAGUACGUACGCAAGUAUGAAACUUAAAGGAAUUGGCGGGGGAGCACCACAAGGGGUGAAGCCUGCGGUUCAA